AGGGCGAACGCUGGCGGCGUGCUUAACACAUGCAAGUCGAGCGGAAAGGCCCUUCGGGGUACUCGAGCGGCGAACGGGUGAGUAACACGUGAGCAACCUGCCCUUGGCUCUGGGAUAGCCUCCGGAAACGGGGAUUAAUACCGGACAUUCACUGAUCCCUGCAUGGGGGGAUGGUGGAAAGUUUUUCGGCCAGGGAGGGGCUCGCGGCCUAUCAGCUUGUUGGCGGGGUAACGCCCACCAAGGCGACGACGGGUA
rnacentral:rRNA from 1 species